CACGUAGGGCGCAAGCGUUGUCCGGAAUUAUUGGGCGUAAAGAGCUCGUAGGCGGUCUGUUGCGUCUGCUGUGAAAACUCGGGGCUUAACCCCGAGCCUGCAGUGGAUACGGGCAGACUAGAGGUAGGUAGGGGAGAAUGGAAUUCCCGGUGUAGCGGUGAAAUGCGCAGAUAUCGGGAGGAACACCGGUGGCGAAGGCGGAUCUCUGGGCCUUACCUGACGCUGAGGCGCGAAAGCUAGGGGAGCGAACAGG
rnacentral:rRNA from 1 species